rnacentral:rRNA from 1 species
AUUGAACGCUGGCGGCAGGCCUAACACAUGCAAGUCGAGCGGAUGAAGGGAGCUUUCUCCUGGAUUCAGCGGCGGACGGGUGAGUAAUGCCUAGGAAUCUGCCUGGUAGUGGGGGAUAACGUCCGGAAACGGGCGCUAAUACCGCAUACGUCCUGAGGGAGAAAGUGGGGGAUCUUCGGACCUCACGCUAUCAGAUGAGCCUAGGUCGGAUUAGCUAGUUGGUGGGGUAAAGGCCUACCAAGGCGACGAUCCGUAACUGGUCUGAGAGGAUGAUCAGUCACACUGGAACUGAGACACGGUCCAGACUCCUAAGGGAGGCAGCAGUGGGGAAUAUUGGACAAUGGGCGAAAGCCUGAUCCAGCCAUGCCGCGUGUGUGAAGAAGGUCUUCGGAUUGUAAAGAACUUUAAGUGGGGAGGAAGGGCAGUAAGUUAAUACCUUGCUGUUUUGACGUUACCAACAGAAUAAGCACCGGCUAACUUCGUG